rnacentral:tRNA from 1 species
GUCAUGGCUCAGUGGUAGCACAUCUGCUUGGCAUGUAGAAGGUCCAGGUUCAAUCUCUGGUAGCAUCU